rnacentral:rRNA from 1 species
GGAUUAGAUACCCUGGUAGUCCACGCUGUAAACGAUGAAGACUAGAUGUUGGGCAGCUUGACUGCUUAGUAUCGAAGCAAACGCGAUAAGUCUUCCGCCUGGGGAGUACGGCCGCAAGGUUAAAACUCAAAGGAAUUGACGGGGGCCCGCACAAGCGGUGGAGCAUGUGGUUUAAUUCGAUGCAACGCGAAGAACCUUACCUACCCUUGACAUCCUAGGAAGAUUGCAGAGAUGCAGUUGUGCCGAAAGGAACCUAGAGACAGGUGCUGCAUGGCUGUCGUCAGCUCGUGCCG